AGUACCCUGACAUUCACAGUUCUGCCUGCCCUGUAACCCAGGAAGGAGAAGGAUGUGGGUCCUGUGCACAGCUGACCUCACCUGGGCUUGACACAGCUGUGAACCUCUGGCCCCAGCUCAGAGGAUAAGGAUGCAUAUCUACAAAGAUUGACUAAUCAUGUUGAUGUGACUGGACCAACUUUCAAUAAUGACACUGGAGAAUAACUGCAGAAACUAUCAUCUUCUCCAGGGGACUCCAGUUCCAUUUUACAGGUGUUUCUAGUAGUCCAGGAAAACUGUGUAUUGUUCCUCCUCAAAACCUCCUCGUGCCAUCUUUUGUUGAGGCAGAGAAAUGCUUCAGAGCCAUGUCAGUGCUUUUCAGCAUGCAGCCACAUGGACAAGCCAGCUCCAGGAGCUACAGGUUCCCAGAAAGCCACCUCCCAUCCCACAGCGAAGCAGAAGCUGAAGACUCUCCUCACCCACUGCAGCCUCUCAUCUUACCUCGCUUCUUUCAGAUAGCAGGCAGAAAGCCUGGCUUUAAAAGAGUUCAGACAGGAAGCAGCAAUGUUCCAGGAGGAUUUCUGAGUCCAUCAGAAGAGCAACUGGCUUCUCAAAGUGUGGAUUUCAGAGAUCCCUAAAAUAUUUGGCUACACUGUUGGAACAGUCAGGACUGAGGAACCAGCGCCCCAGAGGACCUGCAGCUCCCCAGCACUCACACCUUGAGUCAAGGCUGAGCUACACAAGCCGCUUCAGAAUGGAAAGAGAAAUCCCCGUGCUCUGGCUGAUGGGAUGACUCUGGGAUCAGGCAUGCCGAGCUGAGCUAAGAGAGGAGCCGAACUGGCGCAUGAACCCAGGGACAACAGGGGGGGGUGUGAUGGUGGUGCAACAGGAGACCUGGCUCACAGUGCUUUUCCCUUGCACUCCCUGCUGCGGGGGAAAGGAGAGGAAGAGUGUGUGUCCCGGGACAUCUCCACAGAGACAGCUAAACUGCACCCUCCAGAUACUGUUCCUGAGCAAGGCUGGCUGCCAGAGCUGAGCACCAUGAUGCUGUACCAAGGUGUACUGAAUACAAACGUAAGAGAAGCAAUGCUGUUAAAUUAUAUUUGUGUUAUCUGUGUGACCACUGUCUCUAUUACAGCUUUAAUCUACAUCCCAUUGAUCCAACCAUUAAACUUCUUCCAUCUAAGUAAAUACUUCCACACAACAGUUACUGGAUUUUGAACACCAGUAACCCAAAAGAAACCCAGGCGAAAAGACACUAAUUAAUUCCAAAUGUAAAUGACUUUAUAUUACUUUAUUAAACAGCCAAUUCUAAAGAACAGUAAAAAAUAUCAAAACAUGCAUCAUUUGGUGUUCUUAAAAAACAGUUGUCCAAAAUAAAGACCGUUAGAAAAAUUAAACAAGUUUAGCCCCAAUACACCUUUUGCUCUCCACAUAAAAGAUGUUGGUGGUUAUAAAUACUGUUCCAGCUCCUUUAGCAAAGUUUAACCACGUGCACAUUAGUAUUUCUAUUACAGUCGGAUUUUUUUUUUCUUCACAAUGCUUCUGUAAACGUGAUCAAUGUUUUUAAAAAAUGCCUUGUUAUCAAGCUUAAGGAACUAUUGUUUUCCUGUACAGUAAGUACAAAUACAAAGAUCCUGGAUUUUCGUGCCAUUCUAAUUAGCACUCUAUAUACCGAAUCAUUAAAGAUUUCAAUUAGUAUAAAAAUAUAACCAGAGAAUAAAUGUCUGACAAGAUUCAGUAUUUGAGUGAGUCUUAGUUAAUAGGCAAAUAAAAUGGUAUUGACUUCCAAAUCUGGGCACCACUUCUGUGCAACUUCUGCUUUUCCAAGAUCCAAGUAUCACAGUGCUGCACGCAAAGGCACUGCUUAUCCACCUGAAAAAUUCACUUCUUAUUUACGAAAAAUAAUUUAACAUGUAGCUGAACUAACAAGCAGGUGCUGAGGGAUGGAUGUCUGGGGUACAGGCAAAGCUGACUCAAAGCCACACCAGUGGGCACCUGCUCCUUGAGGGGAGAGUUCUCAAAAUCUCUGUACAAGUUAGCAGGAAUCCUGUUUUACUGAGCAAUAGACAGACUUCUUGUCUGCUGUGGGAGAUCUACAGAGCAAAGUCACAGACUUGCUGCUUUUCCCUAAAGAAACAGAAAUAAUUGGCUCUGUCCCUGGAAAGAGUUGUGAGGCAGAGCAGCAGGCUCUUUGGGAAGCCCUGGUACUAGAAACACUGAAGUUAUUUUACUGACAGGAAUGAUUUUUUUUUUCCUAAAGCUGUUAUUUUUACACAUUUAUCAUUUUUAUUAAAAAAAAAGUGAAAUUUAUUUUUCCUUUUACUUUUUUUUUUAUCUGUCCUCCAAUUAAGAUAAAAGUGCUACAUCUAAAAAUGGUGGUAUGUUCUAAUCAGCUUUCUUGCACAAACACAGCCUUGAUGCAGAUGAUAUCUGGACUGUGCUACCACCUUCCAUUCAUCUGCUUCAGAAACCUGUGAGACAAAACUGCAUCUUUUAAACUAUUAAGAGAACUCUCAAGGCUUUAUUUAGCACUUCUCAAGUGUGAGACAGUACGAAAACAGUCUUGCACGACUACUUUUUUUCCAAAUGUCUUCCAGCAGCAUUUUCUACGUGCCUAUUUCUAGUUCUUUUGUUUGUAUUCUUGCAAACAGAGGAAAACAGGACACCAAAUCCAACCAGGCAGCAUGUACUGCCAGGCCACCCUCACUAAAGGAUGUGUCUGAGCACUAAGCACCAUGCAAAGAGCAGCAGAUGGACAGAGUAGAAGGAGGCUCAGUAGAAGGAAAGGUAAUGUUCUGUCUCAGAGUUGGACACAAUGUCCAGGACUGACUUAUCCUGGGUUUAAAUUAUACUAACUCAACCAAUGGAACAAUUGCUUCCCUCACUUUUUGGAAGGAAAGUGAUGCUGCUUGAUUGGUUAGCUGCUGUCAGAUUGUUACAGGCUAGUACAUAAACAACUCUGUCACAAGCUACAUUUCAACAAAAAUCUUCAGUUGAGAAGUCUUUUAUAAAAGAAGAGAAUUUCUGGAAACAUGAGCGAGAACAAACUGCAAGUAGUGUCAGACACCACAUAUUGUAAUUGCUCAGCUCUCAGCAGACACACUGACGUGGUAAACAGUAUUUCAUCUGUACAAAGGCCCAACCUGCUGAGCAAACUAAGAAUUUUGCAAGCGAGAGGCUGCUCUGUGCAAAGCAGGACGAGGGGAGGUGGGCUGCCAUUCACAGACAACUCGUCAGCCACUGCCGUCACUCAGAAGUGGCUUUUUUCCCUUUCCAGCUCUUUUGUCUUUCCUCCAGUUCAGCUUCAGUGAAGGCAGCUGGGCCCCAGUUUGUGAUUAAGUGAGGAUUCUUGGAGCCUGGAAGACAGAGUGCAAUACUUGAGAGGGCCAUUUCUGACAGGGAUGUUGCACACCCACCACAGGAGGAUUUGGAAAAUGCUGCCUCUUCUGUGACUGGAAACCUUCUCAAAGGUGACCCAAGGACCUGCCUGUCCAAGGAGGAAGGAAUGCCUGGGCUGCUGUCACUGAAGGUGCUUAGUGUGAGUUGUCAACUGCUGCAAUCUUUUGUAUCCUUAUCUCCCAACUUCCAACCCCCACCCUCAAAUAGUUCUGUCUUAAGAAACCCCUCUUCUUGCCUUUAGAGGUGUCCUUGAAGAAAAGUGAUCUCUCCAGAACUGCAUUACGAAGCCACUUUCCUCUGGGCUGGCAUGCUAUUAAUUAAGCUAAGAAAUUAAACUUUUCCAGAAAUCAAAUAUUUACUUCACGGUUUUGAAUGCUAACUGCAUUCAACACCUACACGAUGCAAUGUUCAGGCUGAUCCUUGCUUUGUUUUAAACAUAAAAGAAACAAACAACAAUAAUAACGACAAUAAAAUCUUUAUAGUAGGGCCAGUAGAUGUAAAGACUUGAAAGUUACCAUCAGCGGUUCUCACAAUUGUGUUAUUUAUAGGCUGCCAUGAAACCAGUAAGUCACAGGAAAAGGCAGACUUGAGUAAAUCACCAGGUGAUCUAAGUACCUGAGACAGAAUGAAUGCAUAUUUUUGUAACUUUUCUGUUGAUAGCUUACCUGGCUCUAUUAGUCGAAUUAAUCCCUCAUGAUGAGCUACUUUAUCUUUCCAACUCUUGGUGUUAUUAGCUGCCGUUUCCAACUUCUUCUUAACCUCCUGAAAUAAGAUACAGCCUGCUUGAAAACAAGAGCAACUUUACUCUGUUUAUAUAAAAAGAUAAAACAUCUUUUAAACCCAAAGCUAGAACCAUGCUAAUUCAGCCAGCCCUCUGUGUUAGUGAGAGCUUAAUUUCUAACCAUCCCAAGUAAUUUAGUCAUCGCAGGGGAAAAAAAAAAAGUUGUCAAACCAGAAUCCCAAAAUAACUUGGUUUUAAAAGAUUCUGUAGCUGUGUAAGCAGGGCUCAUCUUCAUAAAGAUUGAAAGAGUAAACUGUAGUUUCAAAACAGGAAGAUGCACUUUCUGUUCCAAACUAAGUAUCUCUCACUACGAGAAAUCAUAAAAAAGGAAAAGGACCACUGCUCUUACACCCAAGCAAGACAGAGGCAUUCUUCAGUCUAAACUGGGCUUUUGGGCAAUUCCAAAUGCAAGGCUAAAAUGUUUCAUUAUUUCUAUAUUAAUUGUUUUGUGGAUUUUUUGGUUUUUUUUUUAAUGCCUAUUGUAUUCAGCAAUUCCUUCUGAGUACUAAGUGAUGUUUUGCAUACAAAAAGGUGAAAUGUCACCUAAAGAAAUGGCAAGUACCAGUGAAAAGCAAUCUAAUGAUGGUGUGAGAUGUAACACCAACACGGGAAGUUGUAAAGAGUCCACAACUACCCCACGUGGGCCCUUGUUCAUGGUCACUGCAGCAUUUGUAUUCUGUGCCAGUCAAGAGCUCAUUGGCCUGUCCUUCAUAGAGCUCACCUCAAUGGCACGGAGGCCAGCAUAAACACUCUCUCCAGUUAAACAGAAACCCAGCCAGGUUUUGUUUCCUGACCUAAAUACAUGCAGGAUCAACACCUCCCCAGUCCUGGAAAUUGUGCCGCACUUCAGACUCUGUACUCGCUGGAUUCUGGCUCUUAUUUCUUCCACAAACUGACUUCCACAGCUACUGCCCUUCACCAAAAACACUCAGCAGAGCAGAGAGCAGGCCUGGCAUUUGGGACAGGAGGCACUGCUACACACUGAGAAUCUGAGCUUAAAUACAUUUUCGAGUGCCUACAGUAACACAUUGAUAUUUCAUCUGUAGAAGACAAUAUUGUGCAAUUACACCAUCAAAACACUGCAAGAAUAACUAACUCAGAAGCAAAAGGCAUUCAGUUAUGAGAGCAACGGGACUGCAUAUGAAGUGAGUCUACAGUAGAAGACAAAUGCACACAGAGUGUUUCAGGAUAUGACUGAGCUGGCUUGUAUGCAAAUUGGGACAAAAAUAAAUAAAGGAGGUGGUGUGUCUGAAAUAGGUCCUCUUCUUCAAAUGUAUCCACUGGUCUGGACCAAGAAAACCUGACCCAACUAUACUACCUCUCAUUAUAAUCUUCGUGCCAUACUAAUCCUUACAGAAGCAUAACAGUGAUGAACUUCAAAUUCAGUCAAUCUGUGGAUGAGAGGUUGAUGCACAGAACAGCUCACCUCGUACUGCUCAAGGGCCUCCUUCCUUUCCAGUUCAAGUUGUUUCAGUUGCUGCAUAGCAACUUGAAGAGCCUGUUCCUUUAUAAUUCUCUGGUUUUCUAGCUCUUGCUUCUCUGCUUCUGUCAUCUGAAUGGUCUGUUGCUGCUGCAAAUGCCAUUUUUCCAGUUCAGCUCUCUUUGCUGACUCCUCUUCCAGCAAUCUGCAAUGGGGAUUGUUUUGUUAACUGCACUUAAAAGUAAGUUGUAUCCAUUACCUAGCACACAUGUAUGGAAGCAAAGUUAAUUGUUUAUUUUCCCCUCCCUCCUUUUUUUAAUGGGUAGGAAUAUAUUGUUUAUAAAAAAAGAGCUUGGGAAGCAGGGAAAAAAAAUUAUUGCUUGCUGGUUUGCCUUCAGCAUCAAGCUGCUGAUCAUGCCAGCAGUGCAAGCAGUCUGACUGCUACAAAGGGCUAUUCAGAAAAUGUAGUCAAUAAUGCACACACACAACACAGAGCCCUAGAAGAAACAAGCAUGCAUAAGUUAUCUUCAUUGUCUUAGUACCGAAUAUAUGAAGAAACAAACCAAGGUAAAAAAAGCCCAAGUGAAUAAGAGGAAACUUAACCCUUUAUCAGUACAGUUUAAACCUGCCAUAAAAUACAGUAGAACGUCAUAUUUACAGUUAGUGCUUUAUAAAAUAAACAACUGACAAGCUUGUACAGAGUGAUCUCAGUUUUCCACAUGCUGACAAACACACCACCUGAUGGAAAAAUAAGUGUGCCUGCUUUUCUGAAAUUGCUGAGCACUCCCUCUACUAAGCACUAAUCGAACAUAUUUAAAUACCAGCUUGAGCUUUCAUAUCUCGAGGGAAAAUAAAACCUGUGUUUUGACUUGAAGGUCAUUCCAGCAGCAUGUCCAAGAGGCAAACAAUCAUUAGUGCAUGGCACAGUUACUUACUAUUUGCAGGGGAGGGGUGGGGAACUGAAAUACUUUUCUACCUGGUCAAAGCCAUACCUGGCCUGAAGUUUCCUCACAGUCUCUUCAUCUUGACGUGCCUGUCUCUCAUCCUCCAAUGCUUCCUGUAGCUGUUUAUACAUUUCUUCCAGUUCACGUACUCUUUGUAAAUAUUGUUCCAGUUCAGAUGAUUUCUGAGCAACCUGCUCUUCCAUCUUUUGCCUUACCUAGCAGCAUAAAUUGGGGACACAUGAGCUGACAUUCAGCUUAGGGUUCCAAUUUUUAAAGGAAUUGCCAGGUUUCCCUCAGAUGAUGUUUUCAGAGACAAACCUUUUCCUGCCACCUGCAGAGCAGAACUGACAAAAUUGUGGCUAGAACUGUAGAUGUGUAACUAAGAGCAUUAAAAAAAAAAAAAAAUUAGUAAUACAAGUUACUUAUGUUGCCCUACUUCCUGCAGCACAGGAUUUUUACAGGAGGUUCAAACCUAACUUUGGUCAGUUUGAUCUUCUUGCUUAGUUUACAGAUACACACUAAACUGAAGGAAGAGAAAGCUUGCAGAGUGGCCAGACACAAAAGUCAGGCUGAUUUAGUGACAGUUUCCACUCCCUUCCUCAGGCAAGUCCUCCCUUGGCAGCAGUGUAUCUCACACAUGUGUCUGGAUGAUGGCACCACAUCAGCAAAGGACUGGAAAACAGCUAAGGAGGUUGGCUCUGCUAAGAGAAGAGCCACUACAACAAAGAAAGAUAACAGAAAAACUCGUUAUGCCUGACAGAGCCCUUGAAGAUUGAGAACUAGUUCUUUUGGAAAUUCCCAGUGUAGGUUAAUAGCAACUUUACUUUUUAUAUUUGUGUGUGUGCAUAAAUGUAAAAGGGGACACAGCACAAAAAAGCAAUAGUUCUGGGAAUAUAUAAAAUGCAUUUUGAUUAUGCCUGAUUCAUUUUGUAUAUUCGUACAGCAUUUACUGGCCUCAGGUUCUCUGUCUUUGAAAAGUCCAAAAACCUCAGCCUGCAUUUAUCCUUCAAACAGUCAAUUUUUUUCCCAGUUUUCCAGUAACACUUAAGCCUUGAAAGCUAUACAAAUUGUAGCCAAGCUGUGCCAGUCUUGGAAUUCACCUGUAAAAAUAUUUUAGUCCUACAUCUCUAGCAAAUGCAACGCAGGUUGCACUCUCCAGCCUCCAGCAAAAUCUGUGGAAUCUUUUCAGUGGCUCCUGUGAGGGAAGCCCUUGCUGCAGGCACGGCUCACUGUGUGUAAUCAUAGCAAAAACCCACGUGCUCUGCUCACCA